rnacentral:rRNA from 1 species
AACUGCCUGAUGGAGGGGGAUAACUACUGGAAACGGUAGCUAAUACCGCAUACGUCGCAAGACCAAAGAGGGGGACCUUCGGGCCUCUUGCCAUCAGAUGUGCCCAGAUGGGAUUAGCUAGUAGGUGGGGUAAUGGCUCACCUAGGCGACGAUCCCUAGCUGGUCUGAGAGGAUGACCAGCCACACUGGAACUGAGACACGGUCCAGACUCCUACGGGAGGCAGCAGUGGGGAAUAUUGCACAAUGGGCGCAAGCCUGAUGCAGCCAUGCCGCGUGUGUGAAGAAGGCCUUCGGGUUGUAAAGCACUUUCAGCGAGGAGGAAGGUGGUGAGUUAAUACGUUAUCAAUUGGACGUUACUCGCAGAAGAAGCACCGGCUAACUCCGUGCCAGCAGCCGCGGUAAUACAGAGGGUGCAAGCGUUAAUCGGAAUUACUGGGCGUAAAGCGCACGCAGGCGGUUUGUUAAGUCAGAUGUGAAAUCCCCGGGCUCAACCUGGGAACUGCAUUUGAAACUGGCAAGCUAGAGUCUCGUAGAGGGGGGUAGAAUUCCAGGUGUAGCGGUGAAAUGCGUAGAGAUCUGGAGGAAUACCGGUGGCGAAGGCGGCCCCCUGGACGAAGACUGACGCUCAGGUGCGAAAGCGUGGGGAGCAAACAGGAUUAGAUACCCUGGUAGUCCACGCUGUAAACGAUGUCGAUUUGGAGGUUGUGCCCUUGAGGCGUGGCUUCCGGAGCUAACGCGUUAAAUCGACCGCCUGGGGAGUACGGCCGCAAGGUUAAAACUCAAAUGAAUUGACGGGGGCCCGCACAAGCGGUGGAGCAUGUGGUUUAAUUCGAUGCAACGCGAAGAACCUUACCUACUCUUGACAUCCAGAGAACUUAGCAGAGAUGCUUUGGUGCCUUCGGGAACUCUAGACAGGUGCUGCAUGGCUGUCGUCAGCUCGUGUUGUGAAAUGUUGGGUUAAGUCCCGCAACGAGCGCA